GUGAUCAAGCGACUAAGGGCACAUGGCGGAUGUCUUGGCGUCGAGAGGCGAUGAAGGACGUGGGAACCUGCGAAAAGUCUGAGGGAGCCGGUAACCAGGCUGUGAUCUCAGAAUGUCCGAAUGGGGAAACCCGGCCCGUAUGGGUCAUCGUGCACUGAAUGCAUAGGUGUACGAAGCGAACGUGGGGAACUGAAACAUCUAAGUACCCACAGGAAAGGAAAGCAACAGCGACUCCGUGAGUAGCGGCGAGCGAAAGCGGAUGCGACAAUGGAUGAGUGAAGCGCUUGAAUGGCGCGCCGGAGAAGGUGAAAGCCCUGUAGCCGGAAGUUGUCGUAAGCCCUCGAGUAGGUUCGGUCUCGUGAAACCCGGACUGAAAUUGGGGGGUCCACCCUCCAAGGCUAAGUACUCCUCGACGACCGAUAGUGAAUCAGUAAGGUGACUGAAUGAUGACAAGACCCCCGAUGAGGGGUGUGAAAGAGAACCUGAAACCAUGUGCCUACAAGCUGUCGGAGCUCUUCGGAGUGACGGCGUGCUUUUUGCAUAAUGAGCCCGCGAGUUAGUCUCUGUGGCGAGCCUAAGGCCUACCGGGCCGGAGGCGGAGCGAAAGCGAGUCUGAAUAGGGCGCGUAGUCGCAGGGGCUAGACGCGAAACCCGUGUGAUCUACCCAUGGCCAGGUUGAAGGAGGGGUAAGACCCUCUGGAGGACCGAACCCGUUAACGUUGAAAAGUUAUGGGAUGAGCUGUGGGGAGGAGUCAAAGUCUAAUCAAACCGGGAGAUAGCUCGUUCUCUCCGAAAUAACUUUAGGGUUAGCCUCAAGAAGCAACCGUUGGGGGUAGAGCUACUGGAUCGGAGGUGGGCCCUACCCGGGUACCCCUUCGAACCAAACUCCGAAUACCAACGGCCAAGUCUUGGGAGAUAGACGGCGAGUGACAAUAUCCGUCGUCAAAAGGAGAAUAAUCCAGACCGCCAGCUAAGGUCCCCAAUCUUUGCUUAGUUCAUAAGGAAGUCAGAUUGCUAUGACAGCCAGGAUGUUGGCUUAGAAGCAGCCACCAUUUAAAGAGUGCGUAAUAGCUCACUGGUCGAGGAGUCUGGCGCCGAUAAUGAUCGGGAAUAAGCAUUGAACCGAAGCUGCGGACUUCGUAAGAAGUGGUAGGAGAGCGUUGCUGUCGGCGGUGAAGCGGUCCGGGAACGGUCCGUGGAGCGGCAGCAAGUGCAUAUGCGGGCUUGAGUAACGAUCAAGAAGGUGAGAAUCCUUCUCGCCGAAUACCCAAGGUUUCCUGGGCAAGGUAAAUCCGCCCAGGGUUAGUCGGGACCUAAGGUGAGGCCGAAAGGCGUAGUCGAUGGACAGACGGUUAAUAUUCCGUCACCCUCGUGGCGAUCAAAGCACAGUGCGGAUUUCUUAGUCUGACGGGGCGACCAGUUGUGCCCAGGCCCUCGUGGCCGAUGUCAGCGGCGGAAGUCCCUAGAAAAGCUGUGUGGGCAAAGCGAGGCCCGUACCAAAACUGACACAGGUGGGUGUGGUGAAUAACCUCAGGCGCUCGAGAUAACGGUCGUGAAGGAACUAGGCAAAUUAACCCCGUACGUUCGCAAUAAGGGGGCCCUUCGGGGCGCAGAGAAAAGGCUCUGGGAACUGUUUAUCAAAAACACAGCACUGUGCUAACUCGCAAGAGGAUGUAUACAGUGUGACGCUUGCCCAAUGCCGGAAUGUCACGGAACCGGGUCAGCUUCGGCGAAGCUCGGAACCCAAGCACCGGUCAAUGGCGGCCGUAACUAUGACGGUCCUAAGGUAGCGAAGUUCCUUGUCGGGUAAGUUCCGACGCGCAUGAAUAGCGUAAUCACUGGAGCACUGUCUCCACGACCGACUCGGUGAAAUAGUAGUGGCGGUGAAGAUGCCGCCUCCCCGCAGCAAGACGGAAAGACCCCGUGAACCUUCACUAUAGGCUUUCAUUGGUCACGAGCAUGUUCUGCGUAGGAUAGGUGGGAGGCUUUGAAGCCCGGGCUUUGGCUCGGGUGGAGCCGUUGGUGAAAUACCACCCUGAUCACGUUUGUGUCCUAACCCCGACUCCCGUGAAUCCGGGCGGGGGACAGUGAGUGCUGGUUAGUUUGACUGGGGCGGUCUCCUCCCAAAGAGUAACGGAGGAGUACAAAGGUCGGCUCAGCGCGGAUGGAAACCGCGUGUUAGAGUGUAAGAGCACAAGCCGGCUUUACUGCGAGUCUGACAGGACGAGCAGUUACGAAAGUAGGUUCUAGUGAUCCUGCGAUCCCGUGUGGAAGGGUCGUAGCUCAACGGAUAAAAGGUACUCCGGGGAUAACAGGCUUAUCGCACCCGAGCGUCCAUAGCGGCGGUGCGGUUUGGCACCUCGAUGUCGGCUCAUCGCAUCCUGGGGCUGAAGGCGGUCCCAAGGGUUGGGCUGUUCGCCCAUUAAAGCGGUACGCGAGCUGGGUUCAGACCGGCGCGAGCCAGGUCGGUCCCUAUCUGCUGUGGGCGUUCCAAGCUUGAGAGGAGUCAACUCUAGUACGAGAGGACUGAGUUGGACCAACCCCUGGUGAUCCUGUUGGACUGCUAAGUCCACCGCAGGGUAGCUACGUUGGGCAGGGAUAACCGCUGAAAGCAUCUAAGCGGGAAGCCCCCCUCGAGAUGAGGCUUGGUAGCGCAAGCGAAAGACCCCUGGAAGACUACCAGGUUGAUAGGCCGCGCGUGUAAGGGUCGAGAGGCCCUCAGCGGAGCGGUACUAACGGUCGAACGCUUGAUCAC
rnacentral:rRNA from 1 species